rnacentral:rRNA from 1 species
GACGAACGCUGGCGGCGUGCUUAACACAUGCAAGUCGAACGCUGAAGACCUGGCUUUUGUUGGUUUGGAUGUGUGGCGAACGGGUGAGUAACACGUGAGUAACCUGCCCUCUUCUUUGGGAUAACGCCCGGAAACGGGUGCUAAUACUGGAUAUUCACUGAUCUCCGCGUGGGGGUUGGUGGAUAGGUGUGUUCUGGUGGGGGAUGGGCUCGCGGCCUGUCAGCGUGUUGGUGGGGUGAUGGCCUACCGAGGCUGUGACGGGUGGCCGGCCUGGGAGGGUGACCGGGCACAGUGGGACUGAGAAACGGGCCAGACUCCUACGGGAGGCGGCAGUGGGGGAUAGAGCACAAUGGGCGAAAGCCAGAGGCAGCGGCGCCGCGUGAGGGAUGCGGGCCUUCGAGUUGUGAACCUCUUUCGCACAUGGUCAAGCCGCAACAGUGGGUUGUAGUGAGGGUAGUGGGUAAAGAAGCGCCGGCUAACUACGUG